rnacentral:tRNA from 1 species
UUAAUUAAAGCUAAAAAAAAGAGGCAUUUCAUUGUUAAUGAAAAAAUUGAUUAAAAAUCUAAUUAAA